GUAUAAUAUAAGAGAACACAUAUUCUAAAACCAGAAUUAUACAAAGAAGAUUACUAUAGUCCCUACAAAAGAAUGUCAUGCAUAUUUGUGAAGCAUUCCACAAUUUU
ensembl:snRNA U6 U6 spliceosomal RNA